rnacentral:rRNA from 1 species
UACGGGGGGGGCAAGCGUUGUUCGGAAUUACUGGGCGUAAAGCGUGCGCAGGCGGUUCGUUAUGUCCGAUGUGAAAGCCCCGAGCUCAACUUGGGAAUGGCAUUGGAAACUGGCGGGCUGGAGUGUGGCAGAGGGGGGUGGAAUUCCACGUGUAGCAGUGAAAUGCGUAGAGAUGUGGAGGAACACCGAUGGCGAAGGCAGCCCCCUGGGCCAACACUGACGCUCAGGCACGAAAGCGUGGGGAGCAAACAGG